AACGGCGGUAGUAUGUUGAAUGUACCACUUCCAAAUAGAGCACUGAAGUGAAGCAACGUUGAGCGUAUUUGGUAUCUGGAUGGAUGACCUGUGCAAUUGUGUGCAACUACCUUUU
rnacentral:rRNA from 1 species